rnacentral:lncRNA from 1 species
GGGUUUGUCUAAUUUCGUUUUGCUUCUUCUUCCUCUUUCGUGAGUUUUCUGCACAUGCUUUCUCUCUCACUCAAAACCGUGAGCAACCCAUCCAUUUUCACCUCCAUUUUCUUCCUUUUUUCAUCCAUUUUCAUGCCCAAAUCAACCAUUCAAACUAAUACCCAUGCAUUUCAUCUUCAUUAAACACUUCUCCAUCAUGAUUUCUUCACUUGUUCUUCAUCAUUCCAUCCUCAUUCCAUUCCCGCAUGAAUAGUGCUCUCCAUUUUCUUUCUCAAAUUUCUUCAUCUUUCACUCAUUUUCUUGUUAAAAUCAAUCAUCCAACUCAUUAUUCAUCCAUUACUCCUUCAAUUUUCACUCUCAAAACUUGAUUUCAUCAUCUCUCCACAUAAAACCCAAAAUCAAAAAUUCUCACUCUACCCGUUUCUCUCUCUUCAUUUUUCAAGCAUCCUUUAGCUCAUUUUUAAUCAUAAACUAGCUUCAUUCAUCUCUAGGAUUGAUUCUCUUGCCUCAAACAAAUCCGUUGUACUCAAACUUUGUUAAAACCCGAAAUUGCAUUUUUAAGCUCUUUUUUCUUCCAACAAUGGCGGGUGGUGACAAAUCCAAGGGGAAACACGUGGCCAAGAAGCGUAAAGAUGAUCAUGGAGAUUAUUCGGACUUUAUGUUGAUUCAUUUUCCUCGACUCCAACUUCGGAAAUAUUUUCUCGACCAUUUCAAACCAAGGACGGUAAUUACUCCUCAUUUUGUCAAUCUCAAUAAUAUGAAGAAUUUAGAAAUUUGUGAUAAUUCUCUUAAAGAUUUACUUAUUGCUAUGGGAUGGAAGAAUGUGUUGGUCGUUAAUGAUCCUUACUAUGCAAAUUUAGUCAAGGUUUUCUAUUCGAAUAUGGAUACGGAUGUGUCAAAUAGAAUUGUUACUAAUGUUGGGAGAAUUCACAUUGAAUUUGAUGUUGCUUUGCUAAAUUCUAUCCUUGGCACUCCAAAUGAGGGAUUGGAAAUAUAUCAAACAACCUUGGUUUUCUCUUGAAAAUGCCGUUCGAAAAAUUUGUCGACGACGUGAUUUGUCCACUGCAUUCUGUAACUCACCUUUGAAAUCUCAAGCCUUACCUCUUCAAACUCGAAUCCUUCAUUAUGUUCUCCAUCAUGUGAUUACUCCUAGGGGGGGUCAUGCGGAUGAAGUUAGUCGUUUAGAUGUAGCCAUUUUGGACUGCAUUCUAGAGGAGAGGGUGCUAAAUAUUGGGUAUAUUAUUCUUAAUCAUAUGCUUAGUACUGCCAAUUUAGCCAAAAGAUCCCUUCCAUAUGCUAGUAUUAUUACUCAAAUUCUAGAGUAUUUCCAUGUCCCUAUAACCGAGUCAAUCUCCUCGAAUUCGAGGGAAUUAGGCGAUGAUUCAAUCGCUAAUCUGGGAUUUUAUUGGAGGGAUGAUAGCUGGCAUAAAGAUCAAAGAACCAAAAAGGUUACGGACCUUGCUCCUUCAGAUCAUCGUUUCUUUAACAAUGUCCGUCCCCCACACUUGCUUCGUGAUCUUAGUGCUCCAUAUCUCUCACAUCCUCCACCUUCCGAGGGUCCUUCCCACUCUACUUCAGCUGACUCUGAGGAGAGCGUCUCUUUGCUCCAGUCUAUGCUUGAAGCUUUUCAACUUCAGUCCAUUUCCGAGCGAGAGCGUCUCUUUGCUCAACAGCAGCAGCUUCUUGAUGGCCAGCAGCAACUUUUUGCAGCCCUUGGAUUUCCACCCCCAUCCUCUUCCUCACAUCCACCAUCUCCUUAGUACUUUAUUUUAUUUUGUUAUUUGUCACUCUGCACUACAUUUAUUCAUGCAUUGUUGUUUUUUCAUUUGCGGAUUAUAUCUUGUUAUUUGAUCUUCGGAAAUGUUAUAUUUGGAUGAUGUUUUAUGCUUAAUUCUUAUGUGUUGCUUGAUGACUUGGUGGAGUUGUUGGUUUGUUAUACUUAAGCUUAUAUGGAAGUGUUUUUAAUUACAUUGUGUAUUUGAGGAUUUGUUCAUUUUUAAGGGGAGACUCUGCCGAAAUUUUUGCUCGCACACAAUUGGUAAUAUCUUUCUUGAAUCAUUUUUUAUGAUCUUGUUUUCAAUUGCAUGUUUCUAUUUUUUUUAAGAGGGUAAUAAACAUGAUGAGUUUUUUAUAAUGAUAUUUUGGUUAAAUAUUUUCAGUCUUAGCAUGAAUUACUAGUAAUUUUGAUGAUGAAGGGGGAGAAGUCAUGUAUUUUGAAUAUAAAGACAUGUAAUACAUAUUUUUUGUAUUUCAAGCAUUUAUGCAUGUUUUUGAAAUAUUAAGGGGGAGCUUUCAAAUUAUCAUAAAUCAAAUAUUCAGGGGGAGUUUUUGAUUUAUAUGUUUAAUCAUGUAUGCCAUGUAUUAAGGGGGAGUUUAAUAUCAAAAUACAUGAGAUGUUUGUCAUCAUCAAAAAGGGGGAGAUUGUUAGCCUAAAGGGCUACACAUAAUGUAAUUUUGAUGAUAACAAACAUGUGUCUUAAGUAACAAUAAUAAAUAUUGUAUUUCACAUUUACACUAGUUUUUUAAGGAUAAUAUUUAUGCAAGUGAAUCAAGUGAAAUCAAGAUUGAAGACACUCAACGGACAACGGCGAAAUCAAGAAUAAAGCUUAGAGCUCAACGGACGAAUUAUUGCGACAAAUUCUUGUAAAGCCGGUAUGAUUUAAUUGAUGCAUGAUUUAGCAUUUGAGAAGCUCAAGAGAUUAAUUUAAUUAAAUACUUUUCAUAAACUAAAAUAUUUUAUUUUUAUAAAGUAAAGUAUUUUGUGGAUUUGAGUAAACUGGACUUAAAUGUUAAGAUUUGAAAUCUUUGAUUUUAAUAAGUAUCAAAUUUCGGAGUUGGAUGUUUUUACAAAUAUUUUAAAUGUUUUGGGCCAUACUAUAAUUUAUGAAUAUUUUGAACUAAAGUGAAAGGUUUUGAGAACUUUGAAAAAUAUGGGUAUUAUGUUGAAAAGGACCUUUGUGCGAAACAAUAAAAUCUUUGGGGCUAUAUCAUAAUUUUAGGAAGUUUGGGAAAGAAAAUUAUUUUUGGGAAGUUCUGAAAUUGGACAUAUUUGUAAAGUUUUCUGACGUUUUGGGCCAUAGUAUAAUUAUAGAAAGUUUUGGGCUAAAGUGUAAUUUCAAUGAACAAUGUUACUGUAGCAAAUUCAAAAAUAACGGUAAUAUUACUGUUCUUGAGCGGCUAGCCGGAUAAAUCAAGCGGCUAACCGCUUGAGCGCUGGAAUUUGCCUAUAACGGCUAGUUUUUGGCCUUCCACUAUAAAAACUCAACUCAAACUUCAUUUUAAGCACCAAUACACGCAAAUAUAAGAUCAUACAACAUAUAUUGAGCUUCCAAAACGCAAAUCAUUAUUGAUUGAAUCAUUGUUGAGCUAUUAGUUGCAUAUCAACUCUUAAAGAGAGUUUUUGUUGUAAUUUUCAUUCCUUAUCAAAUUGUGAGUGUUUAAGUGUGGGAAACACUUGGGGUGAAGAGAUUGGGGAGAUAAUCUCUUGGUUGUAAAGGUUCAUUGACACCUUGGAAGUCAAUUGUAAAAACUUGAAGCCUUGGGAGGCUUAGAUAGUGAAAUCCUCGAGCUCGGUUGGCUUGGAGGCGUGGACGUAGGCGGGGAUUGCCGAACCACGUAAAAAUCUGCGUGUUUGUUUUUCUCUUCCCUUGCUCUUUUAUUUUUACGCUUACUUGAAUUUAUUGUUCUCUAUUUCAUUAAGACGUUAGAUUGAUUUAUUGUGCGAAUCGUAUUGCAUUAAUUUUAAAAACCCAAUUCACCCCCCUCUUGGGUUGCGUUACUUGCAUUUCAGACUUUGUAUAGGUAAAGAGUGAUGUGGAGGUUCUGGAAUAUUUUGCAUAGGUUCAACAAUUAUUGGACAUGUAUGAGAAAUUGUCCUGUUAUUUAUGGUAGCUUGUUGUGAAUUCUAAUCAGUUGCUGUCUGUUCUGGAUGAUCUGAGUGACUUGAACUGCUGCUUCCAGAUCUUACAGAGUUCAGAUUACCAAUGCUGUUAUUGACAGACAAAGAAGAGAUAUGAUGGAUUUGCUGUGGUGUAAGGGAAUGAGAAGUUUGAGAACCAGCUUUAGCAUGACUAUGAAAAAUAGACUCAGUGGUAUAAGGAAAAACUGAUUCAUCAAAGGUAACAUGUCUUGCCACAUAGACUUGACCUAAGGAGUGUAAACAUUUGUAGCCCUUAUGUGAAGGACUGUAACCAAUGAAUAUGCACUUACUAGAAUGGUAGGCAAAUUUAUGUUUGUUGUAAUCUCUCAAGUAAGGAUAACAAGCACACCCAAAACAUCUGAGAAAAUCAUAAUCAGGUUUGUGUUUGAAUGUCUUUUCAUAUGGGGUUAAAAGUUGCAAAACAGGAGAUGGAAGUCUGUUGAUGUGAUAUACAGCAGUAUGAAAUGCAUCCCACCAGAGCUUAAAGGGAAUUUGAGCUUGAGCUAAGAGAGUCAGAUCCAAUUCAACAAUAUGCCUAUGCUUCAUUUCAACUAACCCAUUUUGAUGAUGAGUAUAAGGACAAGGGUGUCUAAAGAUGAUACCAGAUUGGUUUAAAACUCAGUGAAUGGUCUAUACUCUCCCCCCCAAUCAAAUUGCAUCUUAAUGGUUGUGCUAAACUGAUUUUCAACCUGCAGUUUAAAGAGCUUAAAGACUUUUAAUGCCUCAGACUUUAGCUUCAAAGGAUAAAUCCAUGUAUACCUGCUAAAGUCAUCUACAACACUUAAAUAAUACUGAUAACCAUCUCUAGAAAUAAUGGGAGAAGGACCCCAUAAAUCAGUGUGUAUAAGUUCUAGAAUUUUGGAGGUUUUGGUUUCAGUAAUUGGAAAAUGAAGUUUAUGUGUUUUGCCCAUUUGAUAGGCCUCACAGAUAUACUGAUGCUUUUGUUGUUUUUGAUAUGUAGGUAAAUGAAUAGAUUUUGCUGUCUUAAGUAUAUGUGUUAGCAUUUGAUGAUUGGGAUGACCAAACUUUCUAUGAAGUAAAAUAACUUUAUUGACUGAAGUUUUACAAGAUGAAUCAUCAGUUUGAUUACAUGAUUUUUGAGAUUCUGUAAUAACUCUAGAAGGAACAGAAUUGAAACAACAACAAGAAAGCAUAGACAAAGGUUUAUUGAAACACAUGUGAAAAAGAAAAGAUGAGUGUGAUAACUAAGAGGAUGAUGAUGAUUUCAAUAACAACUUAUAUAAUCCUUUCUCAGCAAGACCCUACAGAAGCACCUGUCCCUUCAGAGAAUCCUUCACAAAACAAACAUUUCCAAGAAAUUCAACAGACAAGUUGUUAUCAGUGGUAAGCUUUGAGAUACUUAACAAAUUUUUGGUAAUGGAAGGCACCAAUAGAAUAUCUUUAAGUGCUAUAGGUGAGUGUUUGUGUGUAGAAUUGGAACUUUUAAAGAGAAAGAAUGCAUCACCAACAUGAGUUAUGGGCAAACCUUGUCCAUUUCUAAUAAUGGGCUGAUAUGCUCCAGUGAAUUGAUCUCUGAUAUGCAUAUUAGCCAUGUUGUUAGUGAUGUGAUGUGUAGCUCCACUAUCAAGAUACCAUCCUUCAUCAGCUGGUCCUUCAAAGUUUGCAAUAUAAGCUGCUCCAGGUGCAGAAUGCAUAUCAAAUGAGUGAUGAUUUACUAAUGCAUUUAUAUCAGGUGGAUGAUACCCAUGAUAACCAGGAUACUCUGUAGCAAAUUAAUCUUCAAAUUGUGAAAAAAAGCCAAUUUGUGGAUCAAAGUUAGCCAUAUAAGUAGACUUAUGUCCUCUGCCCCUUCCAAAUUGUCUAGGUUGAGGAACAUAGCUAUCAAAGUGUCUGUGCCAACAAACAUCAGCUGCAUGUCUAGCUUUAUGACAAAUUUGACAAAUAGGCACACUAUCAUCAGAUCCAUUUCCAUUGGACAUUGAAGUUGAACCAUGAUUCAUAUUGAAAUUAUGCAUGUUGUUAAGCAUAGGUUUAUAAGCACAUGCAUUCAUUUGCUGUCCUCUGCCACCAGCAUUACCAGUAUAUCCACCAGCUGGAAAUCCUCUUGAAAAUGAAUUGAAAGACAUUCAUCUUCCUCCAUUUUGAUUCCUAUUACUAGCAUUAAAUUGUCCUUGAUAUCCACUAUAACCACAUCUCCUAUUAUUUCCUCUAAACUGAGAGUAGCUAGCAUUCAUCAUCCCAUAGUUUGCAUUAAACGGAUCUUUAGUAUUCUGAUUUUGUUCCAGUCUUGCCUCAUGUGUUAAGAGUAAUGCACAAGCAUCAUCAUACGACAUCCUAUUAGCAGUAAUUAUUGAAGCAAGAUCUAGAAAUCCAAGUCCUAGGCCAUUCAAAAUUUGCAUUAGCAGAUCUUUCUCAGACACAGGACUACUAGCACAAGCAAGCUUAUCAGCAACAGCUUUUACUUUUAAACAGUACUCCUCAACAGACAUAUUCUCUUUUCUAAGGACAUUCAUUUCAUAUCUCAACUGCAUAACUCUAGCUUCAGAUUGUACUCCAAACUGUUUUUCAAUUGAUCUCCAUGCUUCAAAUGAAUUUUCGCAAUUAAGAACAGUAUUUAAGAUACCUUCACUUAUGGAGGAUAAAAUCCAUCCAAGCAAAGUUUGAUCCUGAGCUCGCCAAUUGAUGUAAGCUGGAUUCGUGAUUCUCUGUACUGAUCCAUCAGCUACUGUAUUAGAAAUAUAUUGUUCUGGUAUGAUUUGAUUUCCAGAAAUAAAAUCUUCAAGACGAUUUCCUCUUAUUGUAGUAAGAACUUGCUUUCGCCAAAUCAUGAAAUUUGAUCGAUCUAAUUUGACCGGAGUGCUGAAUGAAAAGGAGAUAUGUGAUGAUUGAUUUAUAUUCAUUUGAUUUGGAUUUGAUGUUGUGCUACUGGAACUAGCCAUUAGAGUGGCUCUGAUACCAUGAAAGAAAACGAAAUAAAGCUGUUUGGUUACUAAGAAAAUAAAUUGAUAAUUAUGGAGCUAUUUCUUAACAAACUUCGAUUCUUAUUUUACUUAACUUUAUGAUUACAAAGUAUCAUCUAUUUAUAUACAAUGCAAUCACGGCAACAUCAUUUAACUAAUCCAAAGACUAACUGUAAUAACUAACUUCAGUACAAUGCACAUCAUGCUUACAACCAUCUUUAACUAAUCUGCUGAGUUGUCAGCCGAGCUUGCACUGCUAACACACUUGCUCUGUAUUUUCUUCACCUUAGUCUGCACCUUCUUCUGUUCAGCAUAAUAAGCUGGUCUAACACCUCAUGGGUUUUGUUAUUAGGAUUAUGUAGUUGAGUUUGACUUCUAGUUUUGGAUGUUCCUUUGAAUGACCUACAAUUAAGCUAUAGCAUAGGUUAAGGUUCUGUUUCUGUGCUUUUAGUUACUCUUUUUCUUUGUUUUGAGUUUUUACAUGUAUCUCUUAUCUUAAUUUGAAUGAAUGAGUAUUCUAGAAUGUUGACUUAAGAUGUAUAUUUCCUUAUCGAUAGCUUGGAACAAACAGAUUGAGACUGUGAGCAUUAUGGAUUUUAAUUAUGAGGAAUUGCUGAGACGAACCGACCAAAUAUUGAAGUUCUCUGUUUGUAAUGUUCAUCGACUUGUGUUUAAGCUCUAUAUAUAUGUGUGUGUAAUUUUUUUAAUUAAGACUUGUAUGAAUGAUCUUCUUAGAAAUGUGCCGACAC